rnacentral:rRNA from 1 species
GUAGGGAAUAUUGCGCAAUGGACGAAAGUCUGACGCAGCCACGCCGCGUGAGUGAGGAAGGCCUUCGGGUUGUAAAGCUCUGUCAUCCGGGAAAAACGGCUAUCUGGGGAAAGUUCAGGUAGCGUGAUGGUACCGGAGGAGGAAGCACCGGCAAACUCUGUGCCAGCAGCCGCGGUAAUACAGAGGGUGCAAGCGUUGUUCGGAAUUACUGGGCGUAAAGCGUGCGUAGUCGGUAUUGAGAGUCACGGGUGAAAUCCCAGGGCUUAACCCUGGAACUGCCUGUGAGACCUCAGUACUAGAGUGUGAGAGGGGAUAGUGGAAUACCCAGUGUAGCGGUGAAAUGCGUAGAGAUUGGGUGGAACACCGGUGGCGAAGGCGGCUAUCUGGCUCACAACUGACGAUCAGGCACGAAAGCGUGGGGAGCAAACAGG